rnacentral:rRNA from 1 species
AGCGAACGCUGGCGGCAGGCUUAACACAUGCAAGUCGAACGGGCGUAGCAAUACGUCAGUGGCAGACGGGUGAGUAACGCGUGGGAACGUACCUUUUGGUUCGGAACAACCCAGGGAAACUUGGGCUAAUACCGGAUAAGCCCUUACGGGGAAAGAUUUAUCGCCGAAAGAUCGGCCCGCGUCUGAUUAGCUAGUUGGUGUGGUAACGGCGCACCAAGGCGACGAUCAGUAGCUGGUCUGAGAGGAUGAUCAGCCACAUUGGGACUGAGACACGGCCCAAACUCCUACGGGAGGCAGCAGUGGGGAAUAUUGGACAAUGGGCGCAAGCCUGAUCCAGCCAUGCCGCGUGAGUGAUGAAGGCCCUAGGGUUGUAAAGCUCUUUUGUGCGGGAAGAUAAUGACGGUACCGCAAGAAUAAGCCCCGGCUAACUUCGUGCCAGCAGCCGCGGUAAG